AAGCCGAUGAUGAGUAUUUGUUUUUGAAAAAGUUGGAAUUACCGGCUGAAUCAUCCGUUGAUGAGAGAUUGACUAUCUGAGGCUUCGC